rnacentral:rRNA from 1 species
UACGGAGGGGGCUAGCGUUGUUCGGAAUUACUGGGCGGAAAGCGCGCGUAGGCGGAUCUGCAAGUCGGGGGUGAAAUCCCGAGGCUCAACCUCGGAACUGCCUUCGAUACUGCGGGUCUCGAGUCCGGGAGAGGUGAGUGGAAUUCCUAGUGUAGAGGUGAAAUUCGUAGAUAUUAGGAAGAACACCAGUGGCGAAGGCGGCUCACUGGCCCGGUACUGACGCUGAGGCGCGAAAGCGUGGGGAGCAAACAGG